AUUGAACGCUGGCGGCAUGCCUUACACGUGCAAGUCGAACGGCAGCACGGGAGCAAUCCUGGUGGCGAGUGGCGAACGGGUGAGUAAUAUAUCGGAACGUGCCCAGUCGUGGGGGAUAACGCAGCGAAAGCUGUGCUAAUACCGCAUACGAUCUAAGGAUGAAAGCGGGGGAUCGCAAGACCUCGCGCGAUUGGAGCGGCCGAUAUCAGAUUAGCUAGUUGGUGGGGUAAAGGCCCACCAAGGCGACGAUCUGUAGCUGGUCUGAGAGGACGACCAGCCACACUGGAACUGAGACACGGCCCAGACUCCUACGGGAGGCAGCAGUGGGGAAUUUUGGACAAUGGGCGCAAGCCUGAUCCAGCAAUGCCGCGUGCAGGAUGAAGGCCUUCGGGUUGUAAACUGCUUUUGUACGGAACGAAACGGCCCUUUCUAAUACAGGGGGCUAAUGACGGUACCGUAAGAAUAAGCACCGGCUAACUACGUGCCAGCAGCCGCGGUAACAC
rnacentral:rRNA from 1 species